UACGGAGGGGGCUAGCGUUGUUCGGAAUUACUGGGCGUAAAGCGCGUGUAGGCGGGUCCUUAAGUCGGGGGUGAAAGCCCGGGGCUCAACCUCGGAACUGCCUUCGAUACUGAGGACCUGGAGUCUGGGAGAGGUGAGCGGAAUUCCGAGUGUAGAGGUGAAAUUCGUAGAGAUUCGGUGGAACACCAGAGGCGAAGGCGGCUCACUGGACCAGUACUGACGCUGAGACGCGAAAGAGUGGGGAGCAAACAGG
rnacentral:rRNA from 1 species